rnacentral:lncRNA from 1 species
UUUAAAGUAAGAUUAUCCCAGAGUGAUUUUACACUAAAAGAGUUACUAUCCUGUCAAAAGCCUUCUCAUCCUACAUCUAUUUAUAGUUUCCCUAAUACAAAAACAUCUAGUGAACUAGCAGGUUUUCUGAAUUACCUUGAAUCAAAGAACGCUAUUUCUGGAAAGAACUUGAAGGUCACUCAGAUCAGGGAACUGAGCAGGAAUAACAUCUGUCACUGGUCCAGAUCACGUAACUAUUUGGUUGCAAAGUUUGAUCUUAGAUUUAAAAGCUUAGCUUUAGACCUGUUUCUCUAUUAUCAUUACCUGAGGUGGCAGUAUUAUUUAACUGCUCUUCAUAUUCAAAUUCAUUCUUUAAAUAUUGGUAAAGAACCACUCUUAGAACAUCAUCUUCCAACCAAUAACAACCCUCGUUGCUUAUUAAGUACACAGUCCUUUGCCUGGCAUCCUAGACCAACCAUGAUCUGGGCCAACUAGGCCUUUUAAUGGCAUUUCACCCUACUCUCCUUCUGCCUUUUUUUGAGAAACAAACUGUCCUCCUGGCUAACUCCCAAACACAUAUUGGGCAUUUAUAUCUUCCCUCAAGCUGUUCUAUUUGCCUAAAAUAUUCUCCACAUUCAGUUUCUGUCAAAUAUCUACUGACAUUCAAAUGUUUCCUCCUCUAUGAAAUUUAAAAAAAAUUCUCAACCUAUGUUCUUCCUUUCUUUACCACCUUUAACACUUUUCAUCUCUCAUUGGAAUUACCAUGAUCUGCCAGGCAUUUUAGCUAUUUGAAUAUUAUUUUCUAUUUAAGGACUAAUAUGCACAAUUCUAGCUUUACUAUACUUUACAUGUGCAAGGUGUACAGUAAAAAAUUUGAAGAUAGAUACACAAAGAAUCUAGCAGCAAUUCUGUGAGUAAAAAUCAGAAGAAAAGACAAAGCUUUCCACUCUGCUCAGCUGAGAAGCUCUGAGCACUUCUCACCCUCACUUCAGGGUUCCUUUUAGCGUUAUAAUUGACAUUCAUUGCCAGUGUUUCAAUUUUAAAGGGAACAGAGCCUAGUGACAUCAUUCCUCUUCUUCCUAUUGCCCUCCGUGAAAGUUUCAUUUAUCUUUGUCAUCUAACCUAUGCUGUCACCAUUAAAUCUGGAGUCCUCAUGAAUAAAAAUCAGAGCAGGUCUUCUACUUGUACA